UACGGAGGAUCCGAGCGUUAUCCGGAUUUAUUGGGUUUAAAGGGAGCGUAGGUGGAUUGUUAAGUCAGUUGUGAAAGUUUGCGGCUCAACCGUAAAAUUGCAGUUGAAACUGGCAGUCUUGAGUACAGUAGAGGUGGGCGGAAUUCGUGGUGUAGCGGUGAAAUGCUUAGAUAUCACGAAGAACUCCGAUUGCGAAGGCAGCUCACUAGACUGUUACUGACACUGAUGCUCGAAAGUGUGGGUAUCAAACAGGAUUAGAUACC
rnacentral:rRNA from 1 species